GACGAACGCUGGCGGCGUGCUUAACACAUGCAAGUCGAGCGGAAAGGCCCUUUCGGGGGUACUCGAGCGGCGAACGGGUGAGUAACACGUGAGUAAUCUGCCCUUGGCUUUGGGAUAACCACCGGAAACGGUGGCUAAUACCGGAUAUGACGCGCUCCGGCAGCGGGGUGGGUGGAAAGUUUUUUCGGCCAGGGAUGUGCUCGCGGCCUAUCAGCUUGUUGGUGGGGUAAUGGCCUACCAAGGCUUCGACGGGUAGCCGGCCUGAGAGGGUGACCAGCCACACUGGGACUGAGACACGGCCCAGACUCCUACGGGAGGCAGCAGUGGGGAAUAUUGGACAAUGGGCGGAAGCCUGAUCCAGUAACGCCGCGUGAGGGAUGACGGCCUUCGGGUUGUAAACCUCUUUCAGUACCGACGAAGCGCCGAUGAUGGUGGUGACGGUAGGUACAGAAGAAGCACCGGCCAACUACGUGCCAGCCGCCGCGGUAA
rnacentral:rRNA from 1 species